AAACAGCUGGAUGAAUUCCAGUGGAAGCCGACUUGACCUUCAGCUACCAGCCAGUGACCCCAGCUCACACUGUGUCCGGAAUUGGUAGGUUCUUGGUCUCGCUGACUUCUGGAAUGAAGCCACCAACCCUCACGGGGGACGCUGCUCUGCUGGACUCACUCCAUUCCCAGUGUCCUUUGCCUUGUUACCAAUGGGAGGAGAACUGGCUUUAGUGAAGGUUGGAACUCUCCAACUCACUCACUAAGCCAUCAUUCCUUAUCUGACACCCCAGAAGUCUGAUACCAGAAAUACGAUCAAAAAGCUAAAGUUCCUAAAAGACUGUCUCAGCGUAAUGUCAAGGGUCCUGAUGAAAUGGCUAUGACAAGCAAUAUAUCAGAGUUAGUGGAAUGCCUAUGGUGGAGUUGCCUGCUUAAGAACACCCUGUAGGUGGGUCGAUACAACUAGCACCAAUACUUCUCUGUCAUAACAUCCCACUUAAACAAUCAGUUGACAAAUAAGAAGACCUUAAUGAUUUAGCAUUUUAUUAGCAAAUUGCAGUGGCUGCUUGCAAGACAACUUUGAACUGUAGUUGGAAAUUUGAAGCGGGUGAUUUGGGCCACUUUGCUUUUUGGCAACUACCCACUGACAGCAUGUUACUUUUGCUUCCUUUGUCAAGCACAGAA